rnacentral:rRNA from 1 species
AGAUUAUUUACCUGGGUAAUAAGAGUUAAAAUAAUGAUUAUAAAAGUAAUUUAAAUUUGAUAAAAAAAGUAAAGUGUGAAAAAAUAAGAAGUUGAGAGGUUAUAGUGGAUAAGUAUUGUGAGAGAAAGUUUAAAUAGAGUUGAAAAUUAAGUUUUUAGAAAGAAAUUUAAAUAUUUGUACCUUGUGUAUCAUGGGUUUCUGAAUUUAUGUCUGUAAAAGAGUGGUCUCGAAAAAAAAAGAGCUAUAAUUGUAAAAAAGUUUUUAUUUCAUUAAAAUUUUAAAUAUAAUUUAUAGGAGUGAGAUGCUAUUCGAGUUUUUAUAUCUGGUUAAUUAUGAAAUGAAUUUAAUUCAGGCUAGAGAAAGGCUUAAGGCUUUAGAGUAAGGUUGUAGGGGUAGAGCUCUAUAACCAAAUAUGGCUGUAAUAUGAAUUAGCUUUAGGGUAAAUAAAUUAAGACUGGGCUUAAAGGUAGCCAUGUUUUUAAAGUGUUUUAACUAAUAUUGAAGAAAUAAGUUUUUGUCUAUAUUCUAUUUUGUUAAUAAUUUUUUCUUUUUAAUUUUUUAAGGGUAGAAAUGAUUGGGACAUUAGUAGAGAGUGGUGUAGGAAAAUUGUAGUGUGGAUUUUGUGAUGAUAAUUUAAUUUAAGUAAAAUAAAGCUAUAGGAAUUCAGCAAAUUUUUUUCUUGCCUGUUUAACAAAAACAUGUCUAUGUGAAGUUAUACGAAGUCUGGCCUGCCCAUUGAAUUUAUUUAAAGGCCGCGGUAUUUUGACUGUGCAAAGGUAGCAUAAUAAUUAGUUUUUUAAUUGGGGGCUUGUAUGAAUGGUUGGACAAAGAAAAGCCUGUCUUUAGCUUUUUUUUUGAAUUUUACAUUUAGAUGAAAAGGUCUAAAUGAGUUUAAGGGACGAUAAGACCCUAUAAAGCUUUACAUUUUACUUAUUUUUACUGUGGAGAGGAGGUUAAUCGGUAAGGCUGGGGGAUGGUGUUUUGUUGGGGUGACAAGGAUAUAAAUAAGAAACUGUCCAGUAAAGAAACAAGUAAUAGUUGGAAAAAAAAGAUCCUUUGUGAAGAUAAAAGUUUAAGUUACUUUAGGGAUAACAGCGCUAUUUUUUUUGAGAGUUCUUAUUGAAAAGAAAGUUUGCGACCUCGAUGUUGAAUUAAGGUUUCCUUAUGGUGCAGAAGCUAUAAAGGUGAGUCUGUUCGACUUUUAAAACUUUACAUGAUUUGAGUUCAGACCGGCGUAAGCCAGGUUGGUUUCUAUCUUUUAACAAAAAGAAAGUCUCUUUAGUACGAAAGGACCAAGAUAACUAAAAUAAUUUUAUUUUGAGCAUAAUUUUA